rnacentral:tmRNA from 1 species
GGGGUUGGGUUGGUUUUGACAGCAAGGUAAAUGGUUAAGCAAGCACGCAGUUACAAGUGGCAGAUAACUUAAAACCCGGCUACAAAAAAUUAAUUGGCGAAAAUACUUACGCUCUUGCUGCGUAACCGAAGUACAGUAAGUUACUCUUUACCGGCACAAGGUGCUGGGCAAGACGCUCCUGAAAGGCUUAUAACUCUUUGGCGUUUCAUUUAAGGGGUGCAUCAUCAAAAGGGUUUAGUCAAAGAUUUUCUCCUCAUCUUUGAUGAAAUUUAAGGAGAUAAGUUAAAGGAGAGCCUGUCUGCUGACUGCCUUUUUCCGACAAAAUAACAACAGAAUAAGCGUGUAGAAAACUUAAGUGUUUCUUGUUUGGACCAGGGUUCGAAUCCCUGCAGCUCCACCA